AGGGUUUUAGUAUAAUAAAAAUAUCUGACUUGCAAUCAGAAGAUGUGGAUUAACGUCUGCAAAUCCUA
rnacentral:tRNA from 1 species